rnacentral:lncRNA from 1 species
AGAUCAUUUCUCAAAUACUAUCUUCACAUCAUGGCUUGGAGACAUGGAAAGAAACAGAAAGCAGGUUCCUGAUGUUCAUCUAUAAUACGAAAUGGCCUCCUAAUGGCUCUGCCAUUGGCAUCCAGUGGUUCUGAACUGGGCUGAAGCCACCACGUAUGAGGUGUUUUGAUUUUGUCACAGUAAC